rnacentral:rRNA from 1 species
AGCUACGACCAAAUCCAGAGCAGAGCAAGAUUUCCCGUCCGAUCAAUCGUAUUUAAGCCUCUGAGAGCCUUUCUAAGUAAUGCCGUGGGAGACCAGGCGUGAACAAACGGUGUUGUAGCUC